rnacentral:lncRNA from 1 species
CGGCGCUGGAAGCUGUUGCUGCUAGGGUUUCUUUGAAAUUGUUUUGGGCUUGUAUUGGGCUAACGGUUUGGGUAGUUUAGGUUAAAUGAUUUGGGGUUAUUGGGCUAGGCUAGUGGGUUAAAAUGAUUUGGGCCACGUUGGGCCCAUGUAUUUGGACUGUGGACUUUUAGAUUUUGGUUUGGUUUAUUUUAUUUUUUUAUAUUUUUGUUUAUUUAUUUCUGAUUUGGGCCAGACAAUAUUGGGCCAUUACAAUUACAAUUAUAAUUAUAAUUAUAAUUAAAUUU